rnacentral:rRNA from 1 species
AGUGAACGCUGGCGGUAGGCCUAACACAUGCAAGUCGCACGGCAGCACAUUAAGAGCUUGCUCUUACGGGUGGCGAGUGGCGGACGGGUGAGGAAUACAUCGGAAUCUACUUUUUCGUGGGGGAUAACGUAGGGAAACUUACGCUAAUACCGCAUACGACCUACGGGUGAAAGCAGGGGAUCUUCGGACCUUGCGCGAUUGAACGAGCCGAUGUCGGAUUAGCUAGCUGGCGGGGUAAAGGCCCACCAAGGCGACGAUCCGUAGCUGGUCUGAGAGGAUGAUCAGCCACAAUGGAACUGAGACACGGUCCAGACUCCUACGGGAGGCAGCAGUGGGGAAUAUUGGACAAUGGGCGCAAGCCUGAUCCAGCCAUACCGCGUGGGUGAAGAAGGCCUUCGGGUUGUAAAGCCCUUUUGUUGGGAAAGAAAAGCAGCAGGUUAAGACCCCGCUGUUCUGACGGUACCCAAAGAAUAAGCACCGGCUAACUUCGUG